CGGCGGUGAGGAGACCCCUACUGUCUUGAACUGCAGUGAUGUUCUUAUACGCUAUUCUGAGCCGAUA